rnacentral:rRNA from 1 species
UGGGGAAUAUUGCACAAUGGGCGAAAGCCUGAUGCAGCAACGCCGCGUGAGUGAUGAAGGUCUUCGGAUUGUAAAGCUCUGUCUUUUGGGACGAUAAUGACGGUACCAAAGGAGGAAGCCACGGCUAACUACGUGCCAGCAGCCGCGGUAAUACGUAGGUGGCGAGCGUUGUCCGGAUUUACUGGGCGUAAAGGGUGCGUAGGCGGAUGUUUAAGUGAGAUGUGAAAUACCCGGGCUUAACUUGGGUGCUGCAUUUCAAACUGGAUAUCUAGAGUGCAGGAGAGGGGAAUGGAAUUCCUAGUGUAGCGGUGAAAUGCGUAGAGAUUAGGAAGAACACCAGUGGCGAAGGCGAUUCUCUGGACUGUAACUGACGCUGAGGCACGAAAGCGUGGGUAGCAAACAGGAUUAGAUACCCUGGUAGUCCACGCCGUAAACGAUGAGUACUAGGUGUAGGAGGUAUCGACCCCUUCUGUGCCGCAGUAAACACAUUAAGUACUCCGCCCGGGAAGUACGAUCGCAAGAUUAAAAC